GGACCUUUCUGGUUGCUUUUAGACCUUGUGCUCUGAGAUAAUCGGGUGCCUGUGGAUAACUUUGUUUCUUAAUGAGAUGGAGUGGCCUGUCCCGAUAAGUGUUUGUCCGUGAAAUGGCUACACAGGACACAUCCCAGAGUUGGAGGGCCUCAAGAUUCCAGAGAACAGAGGAGGAAAGCAAGGUCACAGUGGAGGUGCUGCUGACACAGAUAUUGCAGAAAGGUUCAAUGGCAAGACAGAACUCCCAGAAUAUUAUGAAAGCUUUCUGCCCUCCCCUUUCCUUCUCUCUGUGUGCGGUGAGGCUACCGAUUGAACUUAGGCAAGUGCUCUACCACUGAACAGCUCUCCGCAGCUCCAGAACAGUUUGCAGGGACACUAUCAGACGGCCUGGGGAAGACGAUGGACAAUCGACACCAGUCAGAGCGAGAGUACAUCAGAUACCAUGCUGCCACCAGUGGGGAGCACCUUGUGGCUGGCAUCCAUGGCUUGGCUCAUGGUAUCAUUGGUGGAUUGACCAGUGUUAUAACAUCAACAGUGGAAGGUGUGAAAACAGAAGGAGGAGUCAGUGGCUUCAU
rnacentral:lncRNA from 1 species